rnacentral:rRNA from 1 species
ACUGCUCAGUAACACGUAGUUAACCUACCUUUGGGAAAGAAAUAACCUCGGGAAACUGAGGCUAAUAUCUUAUAAAUGUAGUAUGCUGGAAUGCUUCUACAUUGAAAGGAUGUAACUUGUUACAUUCCGCCCAAAGAUGGGACUGCGGCCCAUCAGGUUGUUGGUGAGGUAAUGGCUCACCAAGCCUAAGACGGGUAGGGGCCCUGAGAGGGGGAGCCCCGAGAAGGACACUGAGACAAGGGUCCUAACCCUACGGGGUGCAGCAGGCGCGAAAUUUCUGCAAUGCCCGAAAGGGUGACAGAGCCAGCCUCAGUGCUCGUCUUCGGACGGGCUUUUGCCAGAUGUAAAAAGUCUGGCGAAUAAGGGAUGGGCAAGACCGGUGGCAGCAGCCGCGGUAAUACCGGCGUCCCAAGUGGUGAGCGCGAUUAUUGGGCCUAAAGCAUCCGUAGCCGGUUCGGUAAGUCCUUGGUGAAAUCCCUGCGUUUAACGUAGGGGCGUGYUGAGGAAACUACCGGGCUAGAGACCGGGAGAGGCCAGGGGUACUUCUGGGGGAGGAGUAAAAUCCUGUAAUCCUAGGAGGACCACCUGUGGCGAAGGCGCCUAGCUAGAACAGAUCUGACGGUGAGGGAUGAAAGCUAGGGGAGCAAACCGGAUUAGAUACCCGGGUAGUCCUAGCUGUAAACGCUGCCUGCUGGGUGUUGCGUGGUCUUCGUGGUCAUGCAGUGCCGGAGCGAAGGUAUUAAGCAGGCCGCCUGGGGAGUACGGUCGCAAGGCUGAAACUUAAAGGAAUUGGCGGGGGAGCAC